UCUGUCAUUUAACCUUGCGGGCGUAUUUUUGAUUGUCAAAUUUGGGAGCUAUACGAUAAACUGUAUAAUGUUGAUAUAAUAGAUUGUAUUGUAUGUGUUGUAUUACAGGAAAAGUAUCUUGAUGCAUGUAAAAUAUGACGGAGAUAGAAUGGAUAUCAAAACCUAUGGAAUAUGGAACUGUAAAGUUUACAUGCCUAGAAGAAGCUAUAGAACAUCCUCUAAAACCAGUUGUGAUUACUUUAAUUGAUGGACGUGGUGCAGUCAGACGCAAUAUAUUACGUAGUACAAGCACAGGUUCCUCCACUGGAACACCAACACCAACACAUACACCAAUUCCUGCAUAUCAACUGAAUGAUCCACUCUUGAGCCAUGCAUCUCUGGAUGGUUCUGAUCCUCUUACACAGUUUGCCCGUGAAGAACUGGAUCCUCUUUCCAAAAUGGCUGCAGAUGAAUGGGAUUACUCUUGUAACGUUGCACUGGCCAGCAAAAAACUGAAAGAUACAGCAGAGGAAUUAGUAGAACCAUGGUCUGUUAGACGUUCUGCCAUACUGAGCAAAUACACAACUUCUGAAAAACUAUCAAUUGUUACCAGUUUUUUACCAGGUGGAGAAAAAGUUGUAGUAAAAGUUCAACCAAGUGGUCCAAUGGUCGACAAAGUGAAGACGCGUCUCGAGCAGUUGGAUGACUUUGAGGAAGGUUCUGUGAGGCAAAUGUUGGAUCUGUCGCAACAACAAUAUACCGCGCGAAUCGAGCAAUUGAACAAUGAACUAGUACAAGCGUGGCAUUCUGAUCAAAGAGUAAAGGCUCUGAAAAUAGCCAUUCAGUGUGCCAAAUUAUUAGUAGAUACGUCUGUAAUGGCUUUUUAUCCAAGCAAGUUUGUUCUCAUCACAGACAUCUUGGAUAUCUUUGGGAAACUUGUAUACGACAGAUUGAAAAUGAAGGCUGAAUACUACAAACCAGGAAGCAAAGUGCCCACGAGUUUGCCUGAUAAUUUUACACCCGACAUGGUGCCGGAGAACGCGAAGGAGACAUGUCGGAAUUGGUUCUACAAGAUAGCGUCUAUACGCGAGCUGGUGCCGCGUCUAUAUGUCGAAAUGGCGAUAAUAAAGUCGUACAGCUUCUUAACGACAAGCGAAUUUAAUACCGCUCUAUUACGUAUAACUCGGAUGAUAAGAGGAAUCGGAAACCCAUUGAUAGCGGUUUACGCGCGAUGCUAUUUGUGUCGCGUGGGAUUGGCGUUGAACAAAACGUCAGAUUUUGAGUUUGUAAGGGAGAACUUGUAUGAUUUUCUUUUCACUUACCAGCAGCUGUUCGGAGCUGCUGUGAGGAGCGAAUUAACGAAGCAAAAUAUUACUUUACAUUCGUAUUUGAAUCUCUACUCGCCGGCCUUGGAUUGGAUCGUACAAGUUUUGGUGGCAACGUCGCCCGAGAGUCUUCUCGAGGAAGUUCUGUCUCGGUGUAAAAAACAAGAAAACGGAUCAUUAUUGUUAAAUACUGUGCUGACCGCAUUUAAGCCGACGUACAUUGCCGCACGCGCCAUGGACUUUGUGAAUCUAAUAGUAGCGAGCGAAGACGAUGGAUACCCUCAGUAUCUCUUGUAUCGCAGUUUGGGCGAGUGUCUCCUGCGAGAGUCUCCGCCGAAAGAGGAUUGCCAGUCGGUGCUGAACGUGAUAUGGAAGUAUGUGACGGAGCUCACGGAUCCCAACAAAUUCAUGCACUGCAUCGAGAUCUGGAUUCAGUUCACCGUCAUACAUUUUUCUGUGAAUGAACUCAAUUUGUUUUUCGGCAAAAUCAUAGAUCGCCUUCGACCGAACAAGGCUUUCGAGAGCUACUAUUUUCAAUUGCAAAACAUCGUUGAGAAGAUAGUCACCCACACGCAAGACUUUGAGUCAUUACUUGCCGUGGACAACUUCCUGCCGUUGAUAGAUCUGUUUCACAAAGAAGGUAUCAAAGUCGAGGUUUGCAAGACUGUUAUAGAAGGAUUGAGCGCGCAAAGCGGGCCCAUUACAGAUCCUAUUAUUAUAAACGCACUAAUGUUUAUCGCCAGAAUCAUGCACGACUCUGUUAGCGCUCUAACUGUCGAGGAUGAGAAACGGCAGAUUGGCCAACUGAUAUGCAGUCUCGUGCAACGGGUAGACUAUGGCCGUGAUUUCGAGAAGCAGCUAAGUUUCUACGCGGAAGCCAGAGCAGCAUUUCCUAAUCUCGAUAGUGUUCAUAUACAGCUUGUACAGUGUGUAAAUAGAUUAUCGGUCGACACUAGGAAAAUCGUGCGCGGCCACCAUACGAGGAGGACAUCAGCGUUCGUGCGCGCCUGUGCUGCAUUUUGUUUCAUCACGAUUCCAUCGUUGACUCUGGUCCACACACGCCUUCAAUUGUAUUUAUUAUCCGGACAGGUGGCUCUUUUGAAUCAGUGCCUGGGCCAAGCCGAUGCCUGCUUCAAGGCAGCUUUGAGCUUGGUUCCGGAAAUGCCGAAGACCAUCGACAUCGACGGCAGGCAGAAGAGUUCGCAGCCGUAUUUGCUCUCGUACCUGUCGAAUUUCUUGUCGACGUUGCUGGUGGUUCCGCGUUCCGUCAUUAGGAUAGUCCGGAGCACGGUGUCUUGUAUCUGAUGAGAGGUUUGCUCAACGCAGUCCAACGUUGUUUCGAAGAGAACACAUCGACCAAAUCGUACCUGUAUUUGCGCGUACUCGAUCUACUAUCGACGGUCGCCCAGGAAAAUUAUCCAUACCAUAUCGAUAAGGUCGAUUCGAAUGACAAGUUGUAUGGAUCUGAUCAAAAAUUCAUUGGCGAGGUGAAUAAAAUUUGCUCGAAAAUCGUGGAGGAAAUUUUGAGUCACCUCAAGUAUCUCGGAUCCACCGAUCAGUUUGACAAGCAGUCGGCCCUGGCGCUCGAAUUGUUCAACUGUUUCAUCAUUCGCGCGGAUCUACGG
rnacentral:misc_RNA from 1 species